rnacentral:sRNA from 1 species
GUGGAGACCCUGGGUCUGCAUGGGGGUCACGUGAGCUGCCUGUAGCCAGCAGGGGGGAGGGCUGGGUGCUGUCCUGAGGAUGCAGGUGCAAAUGGCCAUUUCUGGGCCACCUGUGUGUAUCAGCAUCUGCAGAGGGGCCUGGGGUCUGGCUCCUGGGGUUGGCAGCCCCAGGGGCUCUGCCAUGGCUGCCCAAGGUGGUGAUAUUUCCUCUCUGCCUGUUGGGUGUGGGGCAGUGCCACCCUGUCCCAUCCCACCUCAUCAGCACAGAAUGAAGCUGGUCCUAUACUCAUCACCUGUGCACAUGAGGAAACUGAGGCCCCAAGAGGGGAGCCCAAGGUCAUAUUACUGGGGACCUGUGGGCUGGCGUCUGAGCCCAGCACUGUGGCUUCAAGCCCACAUCUGCCCUAGGAGGGCCCAGGAGGCCCUGUGAUGUCAAUACCCUGUGAUGUCAUUCCCGUGCUGUCACCACAUGAUGUCAUCCCCUGUGGUAUCACCUCUGUGAUGUCAAUACCUCUUUUAAUGUCAUCCCCAUGGUGUCAUUCCCCCCAUGAUGUCAGUCCCCCAUGAUGUCAGUUUCCCACGAUGUCAUCCCCUGUAAUGUCAUCCCCCGUGAUGUCAUUCCCCCAUGAUGUCAGUGUGAUGUCAUCUCUGUGAUGUCAUUCCGUGAUGUCACCCCCCAUGAUGCCAUUCCCCUGCAAUGUCAUGCCCCUGUGAUGUCAUCCCCCCGUGUGAUGCCAGUCUCCCAUGAUGUCCCCCCUGUGAUGUCAUUCAUGUGACAUCAUCCUGUGAUGUCUCCCCCAUGAUGUCAUUCCCCAUGUGAUGUCAAUUUCCCACGAUGUCACCCCUCUGACAUCAUCCUCUGUGAUGUCUCGCCCAUGAUGUCAUCCCCCAUGGCGUCAUUGUUCGUCGUGGGGGUUUGUGGGAUCCCCUCCUCUCCCCUCCCUUGGGGUCUUCCUGGCUGGUGGGGAGAGGUGGCCUGGCCUGGGUGCCGCAGCAGCUGCUCUGGAAGGUGCCCGGGCUCUUGGGGGCCUUGGCCCACGCCAUCCCCUGGACUGUGCGGCGCCCUCCAGGGCCCAGCUUCUGUUGGGUGUUGGGCACAAGUCAGAAUCAAGUGCAUCUGGCCAGAUGCUGCCAGGGCCAAGGAUGCAGCUGCCUGUGGCCUGGCCUUGGUGUAGAGCCAGAGUCUUGCGCAGGGGCUGAGGGGACCCAGAUGGUGGGGAGGCUCCGGAGCAUGUGACCGGGGACCGUCCUGCUGUGGACAGACCUCCUGGGCUGAGUGUUGGUCGGGCCCGGGCCAUGCACCUAGAGGAUGUCUCUUGACCAGUGGGGAGGGUCUGGGGGUGAGUGUGGCUGUGUCCCUUGGCUACUGGGCCAGUGUGGUCCAGGGCACUCUAGGGACUCCCUGUGUUCUGACUUGAAUGGAGCUAUUGGGGCUGAAGGGGCAGUGGCCCUGUGUCUCCUCAGAGCUUGCAGGUCCUCUUGGAGGCCCAGAGAGAGCCAGAGGAGGGCAGGGUCACUGCUGCCUCCUCAUGGUAUGGAAUUGACUGAGCCCAUGCUGGGAUCUGGAGGCCCCAAAGGAAUGAGGCCUGUGGCCAGGGGCCGGCCCAGGAGCUGGGGUGGCUUUUGGGGGAGAGGCCCGCAGUGCUGGGAGGUAAGUGGUGAUGUGCUUGGCAGCCUCAGUGCUCCCUUAGGAGGGUCUAGGACCCCACCUCGAAUCUUCCUGGGCUAUGCAGAGCCAGGAAGAGAGGCCAGGUGGCCUUGGUGGGUGGGAUUAGAUGCUCCAGCCCUGCCUGGAACUCCCUUGGGGGUCGGGCCACAGCCAAGAAGAGUGCUGUCUUGCCUGUGCUAAGGCCACUGUACAUGCAGAGCUGGACCCAGAACCUCGUCCAAGGCCCCCGGCAGUCUCACCAGGAGGUGUUUAGAGCUGGCCACGUGGAGUGGCAUACCUCCGGGGGGCGGGGGGGCUGUGAGAGGACAGUGGUGUGGGCCCUUGGUCUGUGCCUCCCACGGGACAGCUGCUUCAAUAGCAUCUGUGCCCCCUCCUGCCCGUAGUCCACCCACCACUGACCCCUGGACUUGGCUGGCGGAUUUUCACACCUUCUUCUGGGGGCAGGUCUCAGCUUGUCCCCAACCCAGUCAGAGCCAGUCUCACUCCCUGCCUCAGGCAACUGUGUAUGUUUUAAUUUUUAUUUAUUUAUGUACUCAUGAGAUAGAGUCUCACUCUGUCUCCCAGGCUGGAGUGCAGUGGCACCAUUUCGGCUCACUGCAACCUCCACCUCCCGGGUUCAAGCCAUUCUCCUGCCUCAGCCUCCUGAGAAGCUGAGAUUACAGGCGCUCGCCACCAUGCAUGGCUAAUUUUUGUAUUUUUAGUAGAGAUGGGGUUUCACCAUGUUGGCCAGGCUGGUCUUGAACUCCUAACCUCAGGUGACCUGCCUGCCUCGGCCUUCCAAAGUGCUGGGAUUACAGGCAUGAGCCACCGCCUGUAAUUUUAAUUUUUAACCAAACUGAGAAUUUGAGGAUUGAAUGCAUGUAACGGGUGGUGUUCAUGUGGAUGUGGAUUCCAUGAAAGAGGGCUUUGUCCUCACUGUCGGUUCUCCACACGUAGGUCCUUUGACUCAGCAGACCUUAGGCCUAGUCUGACAGCUCCUUAGCUUGGGGUGCACAGGCAGCUGAAGCAGUAGGAUGGCAGCUCAGACUUCCCAGGGCCCCACGUGUGCAGGGCUGGCCUCCCAGCACCACCAGGCAGGGCCGGCCUCCGAGCACCACCAGGCAGGGCCCUGUGAGUGUCCCCUCCCUGACACACACCUUGUAGAGAGGCUGGGCCUGGGCAGGCCGCUCUGCUGCACCACAUCCCAUUCUCAAGAGGGUCCCAGGUCCCAAAGGAAGCCUGUAGCCCAGUGGCUUUCUGGAGGUUUGCAUGGCUGGCAAGCCUGGGCCGGCUGCUGGAGAGGCAUCAGGACAGGAGCAACUCUGCUGACUGCUCCCCUCAGCGAGCUCUAAGAGUCUUUGGGUGGGAGGCACAUCACAUCCCUGUCACUCCUGGCUGGCCCUGGAAUGCCUCAGCCCACACACCCCACUCCAGCCAGGGCUGUGGGAACUGUGUCUGCUCAGGUACAAAAGGCUUUGUUUGUUCUUGGACCUCUUGGUUCUGGUCUGGGCUUCCCGCCUCCCAUGCUGUGAGCCCCCAUGGGCUGGGACCGCAGCUUGCCAUGUGUCUCUCAGUGGCACCAAGUGGACGCUCGAGGCUUAUGUUGAGGGAGUGAGAGCCAGGAUGGGCCACUGGGCGUGCUGGGAGCCCACACAGGCAGGGAGCCCAGCGGGAGGUGCCCUGCUCCUGCCAGCCCCGGUUACCCCAGCAGGCUCGGCACCCACUCAGAGCCCCCACUUCCGCUCCCCAGGCACUCCCCGUGUGCCUACCUGCCCUUGUCCUGGGCCAGCUUGGCUCCUGCCUCCCAGCUCUGAGGAGGCCUCUGCAGGUAGCCGACCUCCCUGGACGAGGGGGCAGCUGCCUCCUCUCACCUGGGCUCACCCUGAGCCAAGUCCUCUCAACCCAGGAUAAAUGGCCUUUCUGAAGGCCCAGAGAGCAUGCCUGCCCCAGUGUAGGAGCUGCAUCCGCUCCCCACCUGACAGUGAUGGCCAAGAGCCCAGUGUUCCUGGAGGGCUCCCAAACUCUGGACCUGUAGGGGGGUCAGGGCAGUCGCUGGUCCCUAAGAGAAAAGCCUGACCCUCGGCCCCAGGUGGCUGAACCCGUCACUGCCAGGGCGAGCUGUCACCUCUGUGAGCUGAUGAGGCCUUGCUUUUAGGACCUCUAAUCUCUGCAAGAACCCAAGCUGGCUCUGCCUGUUUCUCCUGAGCAGCUCGCAGUAUUCACCACACUCCAGCACGACUCGGGACAGGCACGUGCGCCCCUCUGCACCAGCUGGAGUCCCUCAGGACACCUGGCUGGAGCUGACGGGCAUGGGCGGGUGUGUGCGAGCAUGAGCCCGCAGGUCUGUGAGCUUCGUCUCCCUUUCCUUCUUCACAGUGUACUAAUGGUCACUUGAUGUGCGCUGGCUGUUUUAUCCACCUACUAGCAGAUGCCCGGCUGAAGGAGGAGCAGGCCACGUGCCCCAAUUGUCGUUGUGAGAUCAGUAAGAGCCUCUGCUGCCGGAACCUGGCCGUGGAGAAAGCCGUGAGCGAGCUGCCUUCAGAGUGUGGCUUCUGCCUGCGCCAGUUUCCCCGCUCCCUCCUGGAGAGGCACCAGAAAGAGGAAUGCCAGGACAGGGUAACCCAGUGCAAGUACAAACGCAUCGGCUGCCCAUGGCACGGCCCCUUCCAUGAGCUGACGGUGCACGAGGCUGCGUGCGCCCACCCGACCAAGACAGGCAGUGAGCUGAUGGAGAUCCUGGAUGGGAUGGACCAGAGCCACCGCAAGGAGAUGCAGCUGUACAACAGCAUCUUCAGCCUGCUCAGCUUUGAGAAGAUUGGCUACACAGAGGUCCAGUUCCGGCCGUACCGCACAGACGACUUCAUCACGCGCCUGUACUAUGAGACGCCCAGGUUCACAGUGCUGAACCAGACGUGGGUCCUGAAGGCUCGAGUCAACGACUCGGAGCGUAACCCCAACCUGUCCUGCAAGCGUACGCUCUCCUUCCAGCUCCUCCUCAAGAGCAAGGUCACGGCACCGCUGGAGUGCUCCUUCCUGCUGCUCAAGGGCCCCUACGACGACGUGAGGAUCAGCCCCGUCAUCUACCACUUUGUCUUCACCAACGAGAGCAACGAGACGGACUACGUGCCACUGCCCAUCAUUGACUCCGUGGAGUGCAACAAGCUGCUGGCCGCCAAGAACAUCAACCUGCGGCUCUUCCUGUUCCAGAUACAGAAGUAGGGCGGGGCCUCAGGAUGCCCGAGGAGCCCACGGGCGGCAUCCCAGCACCGCUGCCCUGUCCACCUGGCUGGCAGCUGCUUCACAGGACUAUCUGAUCACUUUAGCAAAGGAGGAGAACAAAUGAAGCCAAUACAGGGCAAGUCUGCAUGCGUGCGCGACGGGGCCCCCGCCUCCGGCUCACCCCCCCCGACCCCUGCCUCCCCUCCUUCCGAGGGCCGCCAGAGGCUGGGCUGACCCGAAGAGGAGACGGUGCACCAGGUGCCCCGAGGCUCAGAGACGGUGGCAGCAAGGAGGCCGAGAGGCACAGCGACCCUGCCCCAGCCCUUCUGUGCAGUCAGGCGGCGGUGCUGCUCCUCCAUCCCUGCGGGUUCCGGCCGGGCGCGGGGGCCUUGCUGACAUCAGAUGGGAUAUCCGAAUAUCUGAUAGCAAUUAAAAGGCAGCCUUGUUUCGUACUUUCUGUUUUGUUCGAGGGGAAGGCAUGGCUGUGAAUGGACAGCGUGGAGGCUUUGGUUUGGCCUGGGGGUCAGAGCCUGCCCCGCCCCCAUCUGUGUGCCGGCACACGUCCCCCGAGGAAAGACUCAGAGACACUGCCUCCCCCUACACUCUGUCAUGGGGUCUUGAGACUGAGGCUUGGGCAGGAAGAUCCAGGUAGGGUCGGGGCUGCCCUGGCCAACCGGCCGCUCCCAGGGAGACAGGACUCAGCCACCAGGGCUCAGCAGGCAUUUUCGGAAAGCAGGGUGAAAUUGUCUCUUCCCAGGAAAAAGAUUAAACUCCUUGCAGGCUCUUCGAUAAGUUACACAA